GACGUAGGGGGCCAGCGUUGCUCGGAAUUACUGGGUGUAAAGGGUUCGUAGGCGGUGUGGCAAGUCGGGAGUGAAAUCUCUGGGCUCAACCCAGAGUCUGCUUCCGAAACUGCUGUGCUUGAGUGUGGGAGAGGCGCGUGGAAUUGCAGGUGUAGCGGUGAAAUGCGUAGAUAUCUGCAGGAACACCCGUGGCGAAGGCGGCUCACUGGGCUGACCUUGACGCUGAGGCGCGAAGGCGUGGGGAGCGAACGGG
rnacentral:rRNA from 1 species